UCACUAUGUCCCAGGCUGACCUGAAACUCACUCUGAAGCCCAGGCUGGGCUGAAACUCAUGACCAUCCUCUUACUUCACUCUCCCCAGUGUUGGGAUAAUAGACAUGAGUUACCCCACCUGACAUCCAUGACAUUUUUUUAGUUGACUGAAAACAAAAGUCCAUCUAUCUUACAUUUUGUUUAUUAUGCUUUAAGUUAAAGGUUGUUUAAUAUCAAUGGAAGGUCAUAGCUGUGCUGAACAAGUUUUCCCCUUAGGUCUGUUAAAAUCCCACAAGGCUGGAUGGAGAGAUGGUUGAGUGGUUAAGGCACUUAACUGCAAACCUAAAGACCCUGGUGGGAUUUCCCGGGACCCAUGUAAAGCCAGAUGAACAAGGCGGAGCAUGUGACUGGAGUUUGCUUGUAGAUCUUACUUCCUAGAGCUAGAACUUCUAGAUUGGAAGCUCCUUCUUGGAGGGAUCCAGGUUACUUUCCCCUCAUGUCCUUGUUUAACUCCUCGCUGGCCAGGGAAGUGGCGCCCAAAUGUGGGGCUUGAGGUACAAAAUGUGAUCUGGAUGUCGCUCAAGUGUACGUCAUCACACCCAUUGGAUCACCACCUCAUCAGUGAGUGAAGAUCCGCAUGCAGAUCACCGCAGGAGUGCCCGCCUGUGAUACAGAUCUGGAGAGGUAAGAAAAGCGAUGCAAUUAUGGGACAAGCAUUAAGUAAGCAUGAAUUGUUUGUUGAAGGGCUUAAAACUUCUCUCAAGACACUUGGAAUACAGGUUAAGAAAAAAGAUUUAGUGAAAUUCUUUGUCUUUUUAGAAGAUGUCUGUCCCUGGUUCCCCCAGGAAGGAACUAUAGAUGAGAAGCGGUGGCAUCGUGUUGGUGACUGCCUAAAGGACUACUACCAUUCUUAUGGUCCUGAAAAGGUUCCAGUGCAGGUGUUUUCUUAUUGGAAUCUCAUUAAUGACAUAUUACAGUUCUGCCCCUAUCACCCUGAUGUUUCAAAAGUAGUUACAGAUAAUGAGAAUUUCCUUAAAAAUAAAUUCACCAGUAGUCAGACCUCCCUCCCUAAGAAUGAAGUCCCAGAGAAUCCCUACCCCGCCUGCACUGGCUCUCGCUCCAUGCUGUGCUGUGGGCCAAAAACCUGCCCUUUCUCUCAAGGCUCUAAUUGCUCCUCUAUUAUCAUUCCUAUUCCAGAAAAUGCUGAUGAUCCGCCACCUAAUAACCCAUCCCCGCCUAGUAGCCCUCUCCCGUAAUCUAUCGAUCCAGUUCUGUCUAACUUACAAACCACCAAUCCUAAUGAAGACUCCCUUUCCCCCUGAGAAAGAGGCAAAUAAAGCUGAGGGAGAAGGUGAAUUGCAGGAUGAAGCUACUAAAUAUCAUUACCCUGAUUGGCCCCCCGAGACACUUUUGGGUAUACGGUCACCACCCUAUAACGUAGCAUCCCCUUCUUCUGCCCCAGCGCUUGAUGCUCCCUCUGAUCUAGAAGAAAUAACUAGACAAGCCAUUACUAAACUUUCCUGGGAGACACAGUCUCUUAAGACACUCCUCCAAGCCAAAAAGGGAAAGUCGCAGCUGCUCAAGCAAUUACGCGAUCUUGUAGAAAUACGCUCCCCCUCCGCUCACCCUGUUCAGAAAACUAAAACCAAAAGUAAAGCUCUCCAUGCCUUUCCUGUAACUCGCUCCCAAGUUAAACCUAUUGAAGGAAAAACUAAUGAGGCUGAGCCACAGGAUCCAGAUAGCCCAGAAGAGGGAGAGGGAGAAUCUGAGACAAGGGAACCUGCUGGGUCAGAAAGCACUGAGAAUGAGGAAGGGGAUGAAACUCUACUCAUUAAAGCCGAGAGAUAUCGCUGUCUUAAGUUUAAACAUAUAAAAGAGUUUUAAAAUGCAGUUAGUUUGUAUGGUCCUAUUGCUCCUUUCACUCUCUCGCUGUUAGAAUCUCUAAGUGAAGACUUACUUACUGUAAUGAUUGGGUGAUGUUAACUAAAGCUACUUUAACUAGGGGUGACUUUCUUCUAUGGAAAGCUGAUUACACUGAGGGGUGCCAGGAUGCUGCCGACCGUAAUUUGGCCGCUGGUGGUUCCUCCAAAACCUGGACGCUAGAUAAACUUUUGGGCAACUGUCCUUACUAUACGAAUGAAAAACCAAAUUUCCUCCAGGAUUACUUACACAAAUUCAACAUGCAGCUCUUAAAGCCUGGAAGAGCCUUCUCUCUAAAGGGUCAGCUGUCACCUCUCAUGCUAAACUGAGAAGGGUCCACAAGAGCUUUGUAGUGAUUUUAUCGGCCGUCUUACAGAGGCUGUUGAGUGCCUCAUGGGAAAGGAGGAAACAGAUAAUUUGUUAGACAUCUUGCCUUUCAGAAUGCUAACUCAGCCUGCCAAGCGGCUAUAUGCCCCCAUCACCAUGGCAAAAAUAUUUCUGACUUUAUCAAAUUCUGUGCUGAUGUAGACCCUGCAUCCCAC